GCCCCAGUGCUCCCAGUACCCCAGUGCUCAGUGCCCCAGUGCUCAGUGCCCCAGUGCUCCCAGUACCCCAGUGCCCAGUGUUCCCAGUGCUCCCCGUACCCCAUUGCUCCCAGUGCUCCCAGUGCCCAGUGUUCCCAGUGCCCCAGUGCUCCCAGUGCUCAGUGCCCCAGUGCUCCCAAGUACCCCAGUGCCCAGUGUUCCCAGUGCUCCCAGUACCCCAUUGCUCCCAGUGCUCCCAGUGCCCAGUGUUCCCAGUGCCCCAGUGCUCCCAGUGCUCAGUGCCCCAGUGCUCCCAGUACCCCAGUGUCCAGUGCUGCCAGUGCCCCAGUGCCCGGUGCUCUCAGUGCUCAGUGCCCAGUGCUCCCAGUACCUCACGCCCCCAGUGCUCCCAGUGCUCAGCACCCCAGGGCUCCCAUGCUCCCAGUGCUCAGUGCUCUCAGUGCUCAGUGCCCCAGUGCCCCCAGUGCCCAGUGCUCCCAGUGCUCAGUACCCCAGUGCUCCCAGUGCCCAGUGCUCCCAGUGCUCAGCACCCCAGUGCUCCCAGUGCC